CCUCUCCUCUGUCCUCACACGGCCCUGCU
rnacentral:piRNA from 1 species